rnacentral:rRNA from 1 species
CCUACGGGUGGCAGCAGUGAGGAAUAUUGGUCAAUGGCCGGAAGGCUGAACCAGCCAUGCCGCGUGAAGGUCAGUGCCCUAUGGGCGUUAAACUUCUUUUGUCCGGGAGCAAUAAUGCUCUCGUUUGGCCAGACGACACUACCGUCCGAAUAAGCAUCGGCUCAAUCCGUGCCAGCAGCCGCGGUAAUACCGGGGGUGCAAGCGUUAUCGCGAUUUAUUGGGUUGAAAGGGUGCGGAGGCUGGGCGGCAAGUCAGCGCUGGAAGGCCCCCGCUCAACGGGGGGAAGUGCCAUUGGUACUGCGUGGCUGGAAUGCGGAUGCCGUGGGAGGAAUGUGUGGUGUAGCGGUGAAAUGCAUAGAUAUCACACAGAACACCGGUUGCGAAGGCAUCUCACGAAUCCGCGAUUGACGCUGAUGCACGAAAGCGUGGGGAUCAAACAGGAUUAGAUACCCCAGUAGUC